GUUUUAUUUUUAUUUAUUGCUCUUUUCAUCUUUUUUAGAAGUUUUAUUGUCUUUCAUGUUUGGAAUAGAAUUUUUUCCCAUUAAGCGGCAGUACUAAAAAAAAAUUAUUUCGAUGUCUUUUAAAACCUGAAUGAUACUAUUAUAUCUCUUUAAACUACUUUUAUUUCUAGCACUUGCCAUGUUGUUUUGUAAUAUUGGCUUUACCAGCCAUUUGACUUUUUCUUUGUUUACACUAACAUCACCGCACCAAAGCGUCAAGAAUUUACUGCAGAAUUUUACCAAAGAAUGUAGAAACUAAUUUUCUUUGGAAAUUCGGGAUUGCAUCGAUGCACAAGUCACUGACUUCUAUAAAUACAAUUGUUUA